CAACCUAACCUAUGGACGGGAAUAACCUCGGGAAACUGAGUAUAAUGCCCGAUAGAACACUAUACCUGGAAUGGUUUGUGUUCCAAAUGAUUUAUCGCCGUAGGAUGGGACUGCGGCCUAUCAGUUUGUUGGUGAGGUAAUGGCCCACUAAGACUAUUACAGGUACGGGCUCUGAGAGGAGUAGCCCGGAGAUGGGUACUGAGACACGGACCCAGGCCCUAUGGGGCGCAGCAGGCGAGAAAACUUUGCAAUGUGCGAAAGCACGACAAGGUUAAUCCGAGUGGUUUCUGCUAAAGAAACCUUUUGUUAGUCAUAGAACCACUAAUGAAUAAGGGGUGGGCAAGUUCUGGUGUCAGCCGCCGCGGUAAAACCAGCACCUCAAGUGGUCAGGAUGAUUAUUGGGCCUAAAGCAUCCGUAGCCGGCUCUGUAAGUUUUCGGUUAAAUCUGUACGCUCAACGUACAGGCUGCCGGGAAUACUGCAGAGCUAGGGAGUGGGAGAGGUAGACGGUACUCGGUAGGAAGGGGUAAAAUCCUUUGAUCUAUUGAUGACCACCUGUGGCGAAGGCGGUCUACUAGAACACGUCCGACGGUGAGGGAUGAAAGCUGGGGGAGCAAACCGGAUUAGAUACCCGGGUAGUCCCAGCUGUAAACUAUGCAAACUCAGUGAUGCAUUGGCUUGUGGCCAAUGCAGUGCUGCAGGGAAGCCGUUAAGUUUGCCGCCUGGGAAGUACGUACGCAAGUAUGAAACUUAAAGGAAUUGGCGGGGGAGCACCACAAGGGGUGAAGCCUGCGGUUCAAUUGGAGUCAACGCCGGG
rnacentral:rRNA from 1 species